rnacentral:hammerhead_ribozyme from 1 species
UUCCAACUGAUGAGUCCCAAAUAAGACGAAUCGCGCGUCCUGUAU